rnacentral:rRNA from 1 species
UACAGAGGGUGCAAGCGUUAAUCGGAAUUACUGGGCGUAAAGCGUGCGUAGACGGUUAUGUAAGUUAGGUGUGAAAGCCCCGGGCUUAACCUGGGAAUGGCAUUUGGGACUGCAAGGCUGGAGUGUGGCAGAGGAGACUGGAAUUCCUGGUGUAGCAGUGAAAUGCGUAGAUAUCAGGAGGAAUACCGAUGGCGAAGGCAGGUCUCUGGGCUGACACUGACGCUCAUGCACGAAAGCGUGGGGAGCAAACAGG